GAUGAACGCUGGCGGCGUGCCUAAUACAUGCAAGUCGAGCGAACAGACGAGGAGCUUGCUCCUCUGACGUUAGCGGCGGACGGGUGAGUAACACGUGGAUAACCCACCUAUAAGACUGGGAUAACUUCGGGAAACCGGAGCUAAUACCGGAUAAUAUAUUGAACCGCAUGGUUCAAUAGUGAAAGACGGUUUUGCUGUCACUUAUAGAUGGAUCCGCGCCGCAUUAGCUAGUUGGUAAGGUAACGGCUUACCAAGGCAACGAUGCGUAGCCGACCUGAGAGGGGGAUCGGCCACACUGGAACUGAGACACGGUCCAGACUCCUACGGGAGGCAGCAGUAGGGAAUCUUCCGCAAAGGGCGAAAGCCUGACGGAGCAACGCCGCGUGAGUGAUGAAGGUCUUCGGAUCGUAAAACUCUGUUAUUAGGGAAGAACAAAUGUGUAAGUAACUAUGCACGUCUUGACGGUACCUAAUCAGAAAGCCACGGCUAACUACGUG
rnacentral:rRNA from 1 species